UACAACAUGUAUACAGAGAGCACAUUGUGAGGUUCCUUUCUCCAUCCCACCCUGAGUGUGAACCAAACAACCCGCACCCCACAGUAGAUUAGAUUCGCGGGGGGUCGGCCAGUCAGCGACACAUGGCGUUUGUAGGGGAGGUCUCCACUUCAAUACUGUAUAAGAGAGAGAAUCGGACAACGUGUACCAGGUUAACAACAAGCUUGGUGGUCUUGUGUUAAUGUGUGGGCCUUCCUCCCUCCCUCAUGGAGAUGUUACAACAAAACUUUUGGAAUUUGAACUGCUCCAUAACAGAUGAAAAUGAUAACUGGAGCAUGGAACAAGACCUUCCACCAGCACUAUCACCAACACUCUACCACCACCAUGGCACUCUCACCACUGCCACCACCACAGCACCACCACCUAUAGCAAGAUGAGUUAACGACUUGAGAAUUUAACAACUGGAGCAUGGAGACUGCUGUUACAGCCCAGGGCAGCAGGACGCACAGAGCAGAGCAGAGCCGUCCAGG